UGUGGAGGAGCCAGAAGAAAGAGUGGCGAUUUAUGAACCAUUUUGCGAGACAGAAAUAAAAUGUUAAACACAUGAUGACCUAGUAAUUCCCCCUGACAGCUGUAUAAAGGAGAUAGAAGGGGAAGGACAAGAAUCAACAGAAGAUCCCCUGAGGUCCACAGAGUCCAGCAAUGAAGACCCCGAUGGUGCGGAAUUGGAUGGUGAAAUUAGAUAAUCAGAAUCUCAUAAAACAUGAAGUUCAGAAUAUCCAAAAAAGAAAACGGAACAGAAACCUAAAAACACAUCAUCAUCAUCGUGGAUAGGAACGAAGAACUAAUCCCAGGAGGUCGCCUUAGGGAAUACCGACCCAGGGGUCACAAACAA